UGGGGAAUUUUUCGCAAUGGGGGAAACCCUGACGAAGCAACGCCGCGUGGAGGAUGAAGGCCUUCGGGUCGUAAACUCCUGUCAACCGGGACGAAUGCACUCGGCCCAAUACGUCGGCGUGUUGACUGUACCGGUGGAGGAAGCCACGGCUAACUCUGUGCCAGCAGCCGCGGUAAUACAGAGGUGGCAAGCGUUGUUCGGAAUUACUGGGCGUAAAGGGCGCGUAGGCGGCCGAGCAAGUCCCGUGUGAAAUCCCCCGGCUCAACUGGGGAACUGCACGGGAUACUGCCUGGCUUGAGUUCGGGAGAGGGAAGCGGAAUUCCGGGUGUAGCGGUGAAAUGCGCAGAUAUCCGGAGGAACACCAGCGGCGAAGGCGGCUUCCUGGACCGACACUGACGCUGAGGCGCGAAAGCUAGGGGAGCAAACGGG
rnacentral:rRNA from 1 species